UGAGGCAAAGAACCUCACCCCCCAACUGGUGCAUAGGCCUAUCCACAAGUAUGGCUGCAUGCUGGACCAGUAGUCAGUGAUGGGUAUGAUCCAAUUGCAGUGGUACCAACCUAAGACAGGAGGCUGACGCCUAGAGGUCAGCUCAUCCAAUGACGGGUAAGGACCAUGUGUAGUAUUGGCCAGCCUAACAGGCAUGGUCCCAAGCCACAUUGCUUAUUGUUUAAUUAAACAGAAGGGGGGAGAUGUUGAGGGCCACAGCCGUGUCGGGAUGAUGCAUGGCAUUUUUGCCAGAAGUAGUUGUUGAUAGGUGACGCCAGCGAGUUCUCCCAGAGUUACUGUCGAGUUCCAGUUGAGCUCUCCAGGGGAUUCCCGGAGAGUUCCCAUUGGUUGGGGAAGUGCCGGAGGAGGGAUAUUUCUGGUUGCUGGUUCCUAGACGAGCCACGUGGCAUUCCAGAGAAUUCCCGGGGAGCAUGUGUGGAGUGUGCUGGUGGAGUUCAGAAAUAAAGUUUGUUCCUGCUUCA
rnacentral:lncRNA from 1 species